GCCUUCGUGGUGUAGUGGUCCGCACGCUUGACGCGUAAGCAAGAGGUCCGUGGUUCGAUUCCCGGCGAAGAGG
rfam:Stegodyphus mimosarum contig38902, whole genome shotgun sequence.